GUCCUACUUUACUGAUUGUGGUCUAUUUAACGCCAUGCUUCCUGGUUCUUGACCUUGGCUACAAAAAGGAUUAUGAAAUAUUCCUAAUAACCUUUAUCUAGGAAGCUAGCUUCCUGAAACAAGAGGACCCCUAUGCUUUCCUGGAUGCCCGUACGUCAGAAUCCUCAGAAGAGUUGCCAACGUUUGACUCAGCAGAAAGAUUGAUCCCCAUUGCUGGAUCCUCCCAUUUGGAAUAAUGCUCCAGACAGUUUGUGCUACCACUCCCUCUGCUGAAUAAAUACAUGAAUUCUGCUUU